GGAGGCUGAGGAUCCUGAUGCCAUGACAGAGCAGAGUGUGAGAAGCCAGCGAGCUCCGCCCAGUCCCAUCCUGCCUGGAGAUUGAUGCCGCUCCCUUCAGAGCAUAAUGGUUAACAGGUUUUACUCUAAUUUUGUGAAGUGCAGAGACCAUCAGCCUUCAGUAAACUCCCUAAGGUGAAAAGUC